UAGCGGCGGACGGGUGAGUAACACGUGGGCAACCUGCCCUAUAGUUGGGGAUAACUCCGGGAAACCGGAGCUAAUACCGAAUGAUACAUUUUAUCUCCUGGUGAAAUGUUGAAAGAUGGUUUCGGCUAUCGCUAUAGGAUGGGCCCGCGGCGCAUUAGCUAGUUGGUGAGGUAACGGCUCACCAAGGCGACGAUGCGUAGCCGACCUGAGAGGGUGAUCGGCCACACUGGGACUGAGACACGGCCCAGACUCCUACGGGAGGCAGCAGUAGGGAAUCUUCCACAAUGGACGAAAGUCUGAUGGAGCAACGCCGCGUGAGUGAAGAAGGUUUUCGGAUCGUAAAACUCUGUUGUAAGGGAAGAACAAGUGCAGUAGUAACUGGCUGCACCUUGACGGUACCUUAUUAGAAAGCCACGGCUAACUACGUGCCAGCAGCCGCGGUAAUACGUAGGUGGCAAGCGUUGUCCGGAUUUA
rnacentral:rRNA from 1 species